UCUUACCCUUUCCUCUUUGUACAGUAGUUCAUUUCUACAUAUAAAGUAGAUUUGUGGUGUAGAUUGUACAUAAGUACAAACUUGUUAUGACAUCGUUUUUUUAAUAUUUAUAUAUAUAUAUCAGUUUUUGUGUAACAAUCUAUAUAUAGUUAUUGUAAACUGUAUAAGAAUCCAUAAUGCAUGGUCGUGUCAAGGUCCGUACAACUGCCGAACAAGAGGAAAUAAAAAAGAAAGAAAGAGCAAAGAAAUUAGUACAUUAUAGAACUGCUAUUACCGAGAUAUUUAGAAAGAGAGAAAAUAAAAUAUGGGAUGAUGAAUUAUUGUUACUAACAGAGAAAAUCCUUUUACAAAAUUCAGAUGUAUAUACAUUAUGGAACAUACGUCGUGAAGUAUUUCAAAAUAAUAAAAAUAGCAAUUGGAGCGAUGAAGAGUAUACAAGUAUGCUUGAAAAAGAAUUAACAUUGACUGAGAAUUGUUUAAAAAAUAAUCCAAAGUCGUAUAGCGUGUGGCAUCAGAGAUGGUGGAUAAUGGAAUACAUACAAAAACCUGAUUGGGAAAAAGAAUUAACAUUAUGUACAAAAUGUCUUAAUCUUGAUGAAAGAAAUUUUCAUUGCUGGGAUUAUAGACAAUAUGUGGUAGAAAAAGCAGGAAUAUCUGAUCAUGCAGAAUAUGAAUUUUCUACUACGAAAAUAUUAAACAAUUUUUCUAAUUAUUCCUCGUGGCAUUAUAGAAGUAAAAUUCUAACAAAAUUAUUUUACAACGACUCAGAAGAAACACCAGUUAUGCAACAAAAACGGGAAGAAGAACUUGAAUUAGUGAUGAAUGCAACAUUCACGGAUCCUAAUGACUCCAGUGCAUGGUUUUAUCAGAGAUGGCUUUUAGAUAAUUAUAAACCUAAAUUGCACAGUAUAUUAUGGAGAUCUCGCGUUACAAAAGAUAUGGUCGUUGCCGUAUUUGAUAGUGAUAUAUCUGGACAAUCUGGAAAUAUAUCAUUAUCUGUAGAUAAUAAUAAAAUAGAUGUUCAAUGGAAAUCAUACAGAGAAAAAACAUUUUCAAAAGUAUGGACUGGAAUUUUGUCUAUUUCGUUAGAAAAUUUAAGUGAACUACAAAACGUUCAUAUAAAUAUAAAAGAUAAAGAUUAUCAGUUACAUUAUUCGCAAAGAGAAUCCGCAUGGAUAUAUAAAUCUAAUCCAUUGAUAAUUAAUGAGAAUCAUAACAAGGAACAAUUAAAUGAACAAUUAGAAAGUUACAAACAAUUAACAAAAAUGGAACCAAAUAAUAAGUGGGCUAUAUUAAUUGGAAUCUUUCUUAUGAAAAAAAUUGAUUUUAUUCAUUUUAACAAUAUCAUAUUGGACGAUUUAAAUACAUUAUCGCGUAUUGAUUUUCUACGUUCAAAUUAUUAUAAGGAUUUACGUAGCAAAUAUUUAUUGGAAUAUACAUUUAAAAAAUUGUGGGAAGAAGAAAAUGAUUCAGAAAUGCAAAAAAAGAUUGAUUUAUCCGGAUUAAAUUUAACAACGCUUCGCAAUAGUCAAUAUUUCACAUUUUUUGAAGAAGUAAAUCUUAGUGCUAAUAAUUUAGAAACAUCGUUGAAUCAACUCUCAAAUUUUCAAUAUUGUAAAAAAUUAUCCUUGUCUAGUAAUCAGAUAAAGUCUUUGAAACAUUUUCCUACAUUAAGUAAUCUGGAAUUCUUAUCUUUACGGAAUAACGAACUAUCGGAUAUAAAUGAAAUAUUAGAUCUCGUAAAAAGGCAUAAUUUAAUGAAAUUAGACUUAAGGGAUAAUCCUAUUUAUGAUUUGUAUAAAAAUGAUCUUGAUAUCGCUAAAGUUAUUCAAACAAACGUGAUAUUGAUUUGAAAAUAUAACAUUGAAAAUAUCGUGGUUUAAUACAAAAUUGUAGUUCUACAAAUUAUUUACAUACAUACAUACAUACACACACACAUAUAUAUAUAUAUAUAUAUAAAGAUUUUACAUUGAAUAUAAAUAAUUUUUUAAUUAUUUGUUGAAAGAAUUUAAUUUCACUUAAAAUCAUUUAAUAAUAAAAUUGUAUGAACUUUAUUCUAAAUUAUAAAUUUGUAAAUUUAUCGACAGAGUUGUAUUAUCUUAUGUCGAUAAUAUUCCUUAUUAACACCAUCUAUCGAAAGUUCGUUCAAACCUUUAAUGAUAAAAUAAUAGCAAAAAAUAUCUUACCAUCAGUGAUAAAUAUGUUACAUAUCUUGUCGAUAAGUAACGUUGUCGCAAGUAACGUUACCGACGAUGUAAGAAUCGUUGCCUAUCACCAGGCGUAACAAAAAUAUCCAUAUUAAUAAUUCAAAAAAAUCAAUAGAAAAAGAGAAAGAGAGAAAGAAAAGUAUGAAAUCCAAUCUGAAGAAUGAAAUUUAAUCUAAAAACAAAUUGGAAUGAAGGAAAUAACGAGAUAACAAAUAAAAUAUUUCUGCAGUUUUAUAAACAAAUGAAAGUAUCCGAAAUUCCAAUGUUUUGUUUCUAUGAAAAAAUAAAUGAUAAAUAAACUUUAAAUACGAUUUUAACAACGCACAAAUAAAUGAUACAAAUUUUAAUGAGCAAGGUUUAAAAAGGUCGAUAGACAAAGGUAUUACAAAAAAAAAAAAAAGAACGUAAUAAAAGAAGAAAUAAAAGAAAUAAAAAAGGAAAUUAAAGAAACAAUUAAACUUCUUACGAGGAUAUUUGAAAUGAAUGAAUACAAGGAAAAUUGAAUAAAAAUAAAUAAAUAAAAGAAUGUAAAGAGAGAAAAAAAAAAGAAAAAGAAAAAGAGGAAGAGGAAGAAGAAAAAGAAGGGCAAAAGUAAGUUGGAAGGGAGAACAAGCUAUAAUACGAGAUGGUAACCUUCAACAAAGUUCGAGUGAUAUGGUAGGGUGUCGUGGAUGCGCAUUGGCUUAGUAACUCCCCCGUAUAUGAUGUUGUUAACGCGCAUCCUCUAGAUUUUCCGACCACGACCGUCAGUAUGCGGUCGUGCAUUCCACGCGGGCACACCUGUUUGCUCUUUCUUCCUAUAGUAUUAUUUCAACGCGACUAUGUUCACGCAUUGACUUACGUGUUAGAGAUAUAACACAUACAGGGAGACAUAGAAACUUUUCUUCGUUAGACAAGAUACAUAGAAAUAUAGAGAUAGAGAGAAAGAGAGAGAGAAAUAAAUUAAAAAAAAGAAAAAGAAAGAGGGAGGGAGCGAGAGAGAAAUAUGUAGAGAUAGAUAGACAAAUUUAUAGACGGCAGAAAGAAAGAAAGAGAGAGAAGGAUAGAUUUAGUCGAGAAAGAGGAACGUCCUCGUGACUUCUACCACGUGUCUCCUCUCAUCUUUCUCGUCAUAGACGCGUAAG